AACGAACGCUGGCGGCAGGCUUAACACAUGCAAGUCGAACGGACGUAGCAAUACGUUAGUGGCAGACGGGUGAGUAACGCGUGGGAAUGUGCCCUUUAGUUCGGAAUAACACAGAGAAAUUUGUGCUAAUACCGGAUAAUCCCGAGAGGGGAAAGAUUUAUCGCUGAAGGAGCAGCCCGCGUCUGAUUAGCUAGUUGGUAAGGUAAUGGCUUACCAAGGCGACGAUCAGUAGCUGGUCUGAGAGGAUGAUCAGCCACACUGGGACUGAGACACGGCCCAGACUCCUACGGGAGGCAGCAGUGGGGAAUAUUGGACAAUGGGGGCAACCCUGAUCCAGCCAUGCCGCGUGAGUGAUGAAGGCCUUAGGGUUGUAAAACUCUUUUAUCCGGGAAGAUAAUGACUGUACCGGAAGAAUAAGCCCCGGCUAACUUCGUGCCAGCAGCCGCGGUAAU
rnacentral:rRNA from 1 species